rnacentral:rRNA from 1 species
UAGGGAAUCUUUGGCAAUGGACGAAAGUCUGACCGAGCAACGCCGCGUGAGUGAAGAAGGUUUUCGGAUCGUAAAACUCUGUUGUUAGCGAAGAACAAGGACGUUAGUAACUGAACGUCCCCUGACGGUAUCUAACCAGAAAGCCACGGCUAACUACGUGCCAGCAGCCGCGGUAAUACGUAGGUGGCAAGCGUUGUCCGGAUUUAUUGGGCGUAAAGCGAGCGCAGGCGGUUUCUUAAGUCUGAUGUGAAAGCCCCCGGCUCAACCGGGGAGGGUCAUUGGAAACUGGGAGACUUGAGUGCAGAAGAGGAGAGUGGAAUUCCAUGUGUAGCGGUGAAAUGCGUAGAUAUAUGGAGGAACACCAGUGGCGAAGGCGGCUCUCUGGUCUGUAACUGACGCUGAGGCUCGAAAGCGUGGGGAGCAAACAGG